rnacentral:rRNA from 1 species
AAGCUCGUAGUUGAAUUUCGGGAUCAGACUGUCGGUCGUGCCUCGGUACGCACUGGCAUUAUUGGUUCCUACCUUCUGAAGAACCGCGAUGUCAUUAAUUUGGUGUCGUGGGGAAUCAGGACUGUUACUUUGAAAAAAUUAGAGUGUUUAAAGCAGGCGCACGCUUGAAUACAUUAGCAUGGAAUAAUGAAAUAGGACGUUUGAUUCUAUUUUGUUGGUUUCUAGGAUCGACGUAAUGAUUAAUAGGGAUAGUUGGG